ACAGGAGGUACAUACGCGCGCGUAGCGGCCAUGCUGGCUCGGCGAAUAAAAACAAACCCAUUAUUUCCCAACAUCAAACGCAGAUUUUAUCGAGGGCUUUACAUCGUUCGACUUCUCGACACUUUUCGAAUGGACGUGGAUUCCCCGGACCCGUACGGAAGCUUCGAUUUUCGAGCACGAGUCGCGACGGACGUUUUGUUCGAGCCCCCCGUUGGAAUUUUCUGCUGCGAAGAGGAGUUGGAACGAUGCUGACUUUCAGGGACGUCUGGUACCAAUAACUUCAAUCAUCGUAGGAAACGCUGUAUCAGUUGAAAAAUAGUGGAAAUUUCAAGUUUCUCGACUCCAACACUGGCCACUUUGAUUGCCAAAAUUUGAUGAGUUUCAAGGC